rnacentral:rRNA from 1 species
UACGUAGGGUGCGAGCGUUAAUCGGAAUUACUGGGCGUAAAGCGUGCGCAGGCGGUUCGUUGUGUCCGUCGUGAAAGCCCCGGGCUUAACCUGGGAACUGCGAUGGAAACUAGCGAGCUGGAGUGUGGCAGAGGGGGGUGGAAUUCCGCGUGUAGCAGUGAAAUGCGUAGAUAUCGAGAGGAACACCGGUGGCGAAGGCGGCCUUCUGGACAGUGACUGACGCUGAGACACGAAAGCGUGGGGAGCAAACAGG